UGCUAGCAGCCGCGGUAAUACCGGCAGCCCGAGUGAUGGCCGAUAUUAUUGGGCCUAAAGCGUUCGUAGCCGGCCAGACAAGACUGUUGGGAAAUCCACCCGCUCAACGGGUGGACGUCCGGCGGAAACCAGUCGGCUUGGGGCCGGGAGACCAGAGAGGUACGUCCGGGGUAGGAGUGAAAUCCCGUAAUCCUGGACGGACCGCCGGUAGCGAAAGCGUCUCUGGAGAACGGACCCGACGGUGAGGGACGAAAGCUUGGGUCUCGAACCGGAUUAGAUA
rnacentral:rRNA from 1 species